CUUGGGAAGGUCGGCCAAGCCAUGGCGGGGUAAGAACUCACCCUGGGAAAAGUGGCCAGACACUGCCAAGGAAGAAUGUGGGGAUCCAUUGACUCCCUUGAUGGUGAUUCUAAAAUCCAGGGUGUACAAAUAAAAAGAAAAAGUGUUCCAAUGCUCCUGCAGAGCAAAAGGCCAGCUGGACCAAUGGUGUAUUUAUACAAGCACCUGCACGUGAGCCAUUCGUAAAAGAAAAGGAUUAGAAUCAACAGCACCUAUGGCAA